rnacentral:rRNA from 1 species
ACGAACGCUGGCGGCGUGCUUAACACAUGCAAGUCGAACGGAAAGGCCCUGCUUUUGUGGGGUGCUCGAGUGGCGAACGGGUGAGUAACACGUGAGUAACCUGCCCUUGACUUUGGGAUAACUUCAGGAAACUGGGGCUAAUACCGGAUAGGAGCUCCUGCUGCAUGGUGGGGGUUGGAAAGUUUCGGCGGUUGGGGAUGGACUCGCGGCUUAUCAGCUUGUUGGUGGGGUAGUGGCUUACCAAGGCUUUGACGGGUAGCCGGCCUGAGAGGGUGACCGGCCAACAUGGGGAUGGGAUGCCGCCGCGGCGCCUACGGGGGGAAGGGGGGGGGAAUAUUGGACAAAGGGGGGGAGGCUGAUGCAGGCACCGCGCGGGGGGGAUGACGGCCUUCGGGGUGAAAACCGGUUUCCGCUGGGGCGAAGGGGGGGGGGCGGUAAAGGGAAAAAAAGCCCCCGCAAACAACG